ensembl:lncRNA
GGUAGUAAUUCCUGCCUCCUGAGUUCCUCGGUUUACGAUGAUUCCUACUUUAAUGUUUAUUGGGGGAUUCCAUAGAAAAACUGUAUUAGUACCUGGCUCUUAGUGAGCUCCCACUGCUUCAUUUCUGCCCUGCUUUUCCUUUGAGACCAUGGUAGGAAGAUACGAAAUAUUUCAACUAAAAUUUACAUGAGAUAAAAAUAAACACCCAUAAUCACCCCUCCAUGCCAGGCUUCAUCCCCAAAGCUGCAAAAGGGUGGACCUAACAUGCUACCUGGCACCCAUUAGGUGCCAAUGGGCGCCAGCAUUAUCAGCAGACAUGCUGACAGAACAAAUGGCAGCAGGCACGUACAGUACAGCACAAACUAAACACGAGGCUGUUCUGGAUCCGGGCAGAAGCAGGAUGGGAGGAAAGGGGCCAGCACACGGCCAGCCUUGGAACCCCUAAUCUAGGGGUCUGGGGCUUGUAAAGGAUGUCGCUAUGUUCCUUUUUCCGUGAAUAUGGACUUUGCCCUAGUAGUGGCUGAAAGGCAGACGUCUUGCCCUAGAGUAUCACACUGUAAAUUGCCUAGAUUCCUUAUCACUCUUGGGUGUGAAUUUUGGGUCUCAGACAACUUGAAAAAUUUGGUCUUAGACCAACACCUACAGUCCUCACUUCCUCUUAAGCCAGCUGUUUUCAGCUUCUCAGGUGGUGAGAAUGACUCAUGCUUCCUUCUACCUUUGUGCUUACUGAAUUAUUUUUUAUGACAGUGUUCUACUUUUGUAACAAAAAACAGCAAGCCGCUAAUUAAAAAAGUGUUCCCAGAGGAUUCAUGGACCCUGGAGGUUCACUGCUGUCCUGUUGGCCUUCUGCCCAGGACUGCCCUCACUCAUAUUUCUGACUUGCAAAAGGUUUCUUGUACCUAACCCCUGGGAUGUCUUCAUUCUAAAGGCAGUUUUCCGGCUGAUAUUCCAGAGUCUCUACCUGAAAUCACAGCCUUAGGUGCUUAUGCAGGUGCAGUCACUACAACGCAGCAAGGUCACUAAUCUAGAGUUUUCUUUGGAAGCCAUAUUCUAAGCCUUGAGCCAAACCUGAAGAUACGGGCUGAAGUCUCUGGAUUCUUUCCUCUUCUCUGCCCAGGAUGGUUAUCUGAACAAGAAGCUUCCUGUUGUCUUUGUAUUACCACUGACAGAAAAACAGAAAACCUCCCAACUCAAGUUUUGUAGGAUGACUUUACACAGAGGCUAGCCAAAGAGCUGCAAACCUCUCUGCAUCUGCAUUCUUCUAGUGCAUUCUUCUAGUGCCGCUAGUCCAAUUCAGCUGGUGGGCUUCAGUAUUCUUGGCAUAAGGCCUUCUUUGUAAAGGGGAAAGAGCAAGAGGGGCUUCAGACAGGAAGCAGCAUUAAGAAGUCUACCUUAAGCGUGCUACGUUUGCACUUUGGCAGCGUUCAGCACACCACAGAUGCUCUCCUACAUUCUACGAAGAAUGACAACUAAAGCAGAUUAGGCUGAUGAGUGGAUCCUUUCAGAGAGAGGCUCUGGUUUUCUCUAGACAAAAUUCCUAACCCAGUGGUACAUUAAAGAUCCCAGUCUGGCAGGUAAUACUUUAGAUCAGUUAUAA